ACGUUACUUGGAUAACUGUGGUAAUUCUAGAGCUAAUACAUGCCGACAGAGUUCCGACCAACUGUACAGAUGUGCGUCGGCCUCGGUCGUCGUCGCUGUACGGUUCGGAAGGAACGCUUUUAUUAGAUCAAAACCGGCCAGACGGUGGUUUCGCGUUCGCGCGCGUCUCCAUUCGUAAGCGGCCCGCGCAAAGACUUGGUGACUCUGAAUAACUUCGAGCUGAUCGCACGGUCCUAGUACCGGCGACGUAUCUUUCAAAUGUCUGCCUUAUCAACUGUCGACGGUAGGUUCGACGCCUACCGUGGUGGUAACGGGUAACGGGGAAUCAGGGUUCGAUUCCGGAGAGGGAGCCUGAGAAACGGCUACCACAUCCAAGGAAGGCAGCAGGCGCGCAAAUUACCCACUCCCAGCUCGGGGAGGUAGUG
rnacentral:rRNA from 1 species